AUACGUAGGUGGCAAGCGUUGUCCGGAAUUAUUGGGCGUAAAGCGCGCGCAGGCGGUCCUUUAAGUCUGCUGUGAAAGCCCACGGCUCACCCGUGGAGGGUCAUUGGAAACUGGAGGACUUGCGUGCAGAAGAGGAAAGUGGAAUUCCAAGUGUAGCGGUGAAAUGCGUAGAGAUUUGGAGGAACACCAGUGGCGAAGGCGACUUUCUGGUCUGUAACUGACGCUGAGGCGCGAAAGCGUGGGGAGCAAACAGGAUUAGAUACCCUGGUAGUCCACGCCGUAAACGAUGAGUGCUAAGUGUUAGGGGGUUUCCGCCCCUUAGUGCUGCAGCUAACGCAUUAAGCACUCCGCCUGGGGAGUACGGUCGCAAGACUGAAACUCAAAGGAAUUGACGGGG
rnacentral:rRNA from 1 species